UACGUAGGCAGCAAGCGUUGUUCGGAGUUACUGGGCGUAAAGAGUAUGUAGGCGGUUGGGUAAGUUUGGUGUGAAAUCUCCCGGCUUAACUGGGAGGGUGCGCUAAAGACUGCCUGGCUCGAGUGUGGGAGAGGAAAGCGGAAUUCCUGGUGUAGCGGUGAAAUGCGCAGAUAUCAGGAAGAACACCAAUGGCGAAAGCAGCUCUCUGGGACGGUACUGACGCUGAGACGCGAAAGCGUGGGGAGCGAACAGG
rnacentral:rRNA from 1 species